UACGUAGGGACCAAGCGUUGUUCGGAUUUACUGGGCGUAAAGGGCGCGUAGGCGGCGCGGUAAGUCACUUGUGAAAUCUCUGAGCUUAACUCAGAACGGCCAAGUGAUACUGCAGUGCUAGAGUGUGGAAGGGGCAAUCGGAAUUCUUGGUGUAGCGGUGAAAUGCGUAGAUAUCAAGAGGAACACCGGUGGCGAAGGCGGCUUCUUGGGCCGUUCCUGACGCUGAGGCGCGAAAGCGUGGGGAGCGAACAGG
rnacentral:rRNA from 1 species